CAAGAUUUCUACUUGUUUAUGGGAUUUUUUUGUGGAAGUUUUAAAAAACCUCCAUAACAUAUUUUAUGUAUGGCAAAAUAUAAAACCCCCAUUGAUUAAAAUUAGUUUAAACUUUUUAAGCCCAAUUUUCUAAACCAAUAACCAAUCCCUAACCUACUCUGAUUAAACCCAAACAAUGCAAAUUUAACUCCAACCAAAAACUUGUCCAAAAAAAUUUGAAAAGGGAGAAGAUUGAACAUGAACCUUAGAUCUACUAGCCACCGUGGUAUUUAUCUCUUCGCCAUUGUCACCAUCAGGCAUCAAACUCGCCGUAGCGUCUGAGAUCAGAGGGAGAGUAACCGGCGACGCCCGCGACGCCAUCCUUGCCGAGGUCCAGGAGCAGGUUUCCAUCCUCAACUCCACUUUCUCAUGGAAGGAGUCAGAUCGAGCCACCGCCAAGCGCGCCACUCACGCGCUCUCCGAUCUUGCCAAAAAUAGUGUAAAUCCUUCAGUGGUUGUGUCUUGCAGAGAAAGUGGUGAACGUGAUUAUCGAAUGAGGAGCUAUUCCGGCUUUGGUUCAGUAAUCAGCACCUCCAAGCUCCUCCCGUGACGGAAGAAGACCUCGUUCAGAAGCUGUUACUGUUUGAGCUUGAGGUUGAGAAAGUGAAAGCAGUAAUGGAAUCAAAGUGCUUAAUGCUAAAAACACAAUGGAGAAAGCAAAGGAAAUGAAUCUAAAGGGUUCAGAGAGAAGCAACAAUUCUCCACAGAGUCUUCAAUAACUUCUAUGUGUGUGGUGGAAACUGCAGGUGGAGUUGCGAGUCCCGGUGCUUCUGGAUCACUUUAAUGUGACUUAUAUAAGUGAAUUUGGUGCUCCAGAAUUUUGGUCCGCUAUUUGUAUAUUUCUGGAACAAUUUCUGCUUAUGAGAGCUUGACUCUUCGAGGUUAUGAUGUUGUUGCUGUUGUUUUGGAAGAUCACGGCCUUCUAAACGAGGGUCGAAUAAUGUCUUAUAUGCGGAACAAGCUUCCUAUUCUAGUGCUACCCCCUGUUCCAAAAGGCUCAGAGCACAGAAGUUGUAGCUCUACUAUUUGAUGCCUGUGCUAGUUGGUAGACUCAAGGACCUAAUGCUAUAUUACAGAUUAUGCUUCCAGAAGCCGUUGCAAUAGUUAUGGCACCAAGAGACAGUUCAAGGUAAGGCACAUCACAGAUGUAUCUUGAAUUCUUGAUUUAUAGAGGCAUCUCUUCCCUAAUAAAUUUUGGAAGCAAAAUUAGAGACCAUAAGUUGAAACUUGAAAAGAAUGUAAAAUCCUUCCUAGAAAAAUUAAUAAAGGGUAAAUUACAUUGACAUUUUUUCCGCUGUGCUACUCUGGUUUUUAAUGACAAUUUUAAUGUAUUUAUUUCUAAUAUUAUUAGUUAAAUUAGAUUAAAAUUGUUAUAUUUUUUCUAGAUUAUAUCAUUGAAACUAAAGCCAUCCACAGUUUGUGAGAUAAGUCUGAGAAGUGUUACAUUCUAGAUUAUAUCAUUGCGCUCAGAGUCUUGUAGCUGCUGUUUUCUCAUAUCAACUCUACUCCAUAAUAUGUUGUUCUGCCAAAAUAAUUGACUCUUAGGGUUACUUUCUUCAGAGUAAAAUAGUUAAUUACAGUGUGUAGCAGAUGCUAAUCCACAAAUAACUUAUAGAAAGAAGUUCUCAAUAUUGAACCAAUGGGAUUAAUUCUCAGUCCAAUUAAAGUAAAUUAAAUUGAAUUAACAAGAAAAAAGGGGUAAAUUUGGGGAAACUAGAUAAGAAGUAGGUACUAAGCUAUUCUUGAGUCAUAGAGGGUUUGUCAUUCCUGCAAAUUGACAAAAGCUUGACAUCAAGACCAAAAUGAGGAUGAGAAAAUAGAAUUCUACAAAUGGAGGUCUAGAAGAAAGUCAUACCAGCUUUCCUUUUUAUUUUCUUGUCUUCUUUUUCUUUUAUAGUAGUGUAUUAAAGCUUGGGCUUGGGCCAAUUUCAUAAUCAUAACACUCUGCUUUUUGGGGGAAAGAUAUGGAUAUAGGAGCAACAAGUAAAUUUUUACACCUUUUAAUGAGUGAAGACAGUGGCUCGGAUUGUGGAAAGUGAUGCAGGGAAAGUAAUUUGCAGGGAAGUAGAGAGGAUCAAACCUGCGGCUGUAGUUCUGGGAUAAAGAGGCAGAAGCUUAAUUCAAAGUGUGCUACAGGGAAGUGUUGGAAAGUACUGCUUCCACCACUGCAAAGCAGCACCUGUUGUCAUCGUUCCUGAAAAAGAUGCUGGAGAUGCAUCAAUAUUGUAGUGAAGCUUUGUACGUAUGUCAAUUGGCCUUGUUAAUAUAUCUAACAGUCAUGUUUAGUGAAAUGAAGAUUGGUUCUGACUCAUUUUCACCAAGAAUAGAGAUGUUUUCCUUGCAUAUGUUCACAUGUUAACCACUAGCAUGUUAUUAAUUCAAUGGCUUAGUAACUCAUUUUCUCAUUGUGCUGUUUAGACUUUCUUUGAUGUUACAAAGCAUUUGGAUAGCUUUAUUUU